rnacentral:snRNA from 1 species
ACGAUCACUUCAGCAGCACAUAUACUAAAACUGGAACAAUACAGAGAUUAGCAUGCCUCCUGCGCACGGAUGAUACACAAAUUCGUGAAGCAUUCUAUAUUUUU